GAUGAACGCUGGCGGCGUGCCUAAUACAUGCAAGUCGAGCGAACGGACGAGAAGCUUGCUUCUCUGAUGUUAGCGGCGGACGGGUGAGUAACACGUGGAUAACCUACCUAUAAGACUGGGAUAACUUCGGGAAACCGGAGCUAAUACCGGAUAAUAUUUUGAACCGCAUGGUUCAAAAGUGAAAGACGGUCUUGCUGUCACUUAUAGAUGGAUCCGCGCUGCAUUAGCUAGUUGUUAAGGUAACGGCUUACCAAGGCAACGAUGCAUAGCCGACCUGAGAGGGUGAUCGGCCACCCUAGAACUGAGACAGCGUCAAGACUACUACGGGAGGCAGCAGUAGGGUAUCUGACGCAAUAGGCGAAAGCCUGACGGAGCAACGCCGCGUGAGUGAUGAAGGUCUUCGGAGCGUAAAACUCUGUUAUGAGGGAAGAACAUAUGUGUAAGUAAAUGUGCACAGCUUGACGGUACCUAAUAAGAAAGCCACGGCUAACUACGUG
rnacentral:rRNA from 1 species